UGGGGAAUUUUGGACAAUGGGCGAAAGCCUGAUCCAGCAAUGCCGCGUGUGUGAAGAAGGCCUUCGGGUUGUAAAGCACUUUUGUCCGGAAAGAAAUCCUUGGCUCUAAUACAGUCGGGGAUGACGGUACCGGAAGAAUAAGCACCGGCUAACUACGUGCCAGCAGCCGCGGUAAUACGUAGGGUGCAAGCGUUAAUCGGAAUUACUGGGCGUAAAGCGUGCGCAGGCGGUUUGCUAAGACCGAUGUGAAAUCCCCGGGCUCAACCUGGGAACUGCAUUGGUGACUGGCAGGCUAGAGUAUGGCAGAGGGGGGUAGAAUUCCACGUGUAGCAGUGAAAUGCGUAGAGAUGUGGAGGAAUACCGAUGGCGAAGGCAGCCCCCUGGGCCAAUACUGACGCUCAUGCACGAAAGCGUGGGGAGCAAACAGGAUUAGAUACCCUGGUAGUCCACGCCCUAAACGAUGUCAACUAGUUGUUGGGGACUUCAUUUCCUUAGUAACGUAGCUAACGCGUGAAGUUGACCGCCUGGGGAGUACGGUCG
rnacentral:rRNA from 1 species